ACAGAUUGUGUUGCAUACGAGAUAUAUUAUCAUCAAAUCGUCUCUUUCUUCAUCCUGUUCACGUGAAGAUGAUUGAUUCUAGACGGCUAGGGUUGCCCUUGCUCCUCCCAGCCUUCCCUCUUCACCUAUUUCUAUGUACAUGAGCCGACGAGUUCCUGGUGAGAUACAUCGUCAAGGAAACGAAGCGCUCGGCGACCUACUCGAAGGCAAGGAUGCGGUGGAGGCCUGGGGAGCGCUCCUCGGUCGACGGGUACCUGCAGGAACAGGAGGUCGAGGAGUGCCUGCAGUGGCGGCACGACAAGGAGGCGCCUUCGUCCUGUACGUAAACUUCGGAAGAAUCGUAGUCAUACUCAGCGAACCGGUCGUACAGGUAUAAUCUGACUAAUUAAUUGCGGCAGGCAGUCCACGUGGAUAAUCUGACUAAUUGUGUGUCAAUUUCGAGUCCCAUGGCUAAGAGCGGCAUGUAGUUCAUGGAUAAUCUGACUAAUUAUGUGUCAAUCAUAGCCUCAUAUUUUCUGUGUCCAGUUUCCUCUCCUCGGUGCAUGGAUUCAUCUCACGUCUCCAAGCAUGAUGUACACAACUCCAUGUAGGUACGUAUGAAGUACGAUGCUUUUCGAUUUGUUAACAAUUUGUCUUUCCAGUAUGCAUGGUUUUUCCGACAAUAAGACAUCGGGUCACUAAGUUUGGACUUCAAAUAGAGUCACCAGCGUGGAUCAAUCCAUACUUGCAGAUUCGCCGCGUACAUGCAUGAGGACUCGAGUCCCAUGUGUCUAACUGUAGGUACUUCAAGACAUAUAUAGCAGCUUUACAUAGAUGAUACUAAGCAUAUGGGGAUGCAUUCGCCUACACUGUGGCUUUGUUUUGGCCAUUCAUUGAAUCCGUACAUAUUAGUUUUUCUUAUUCCCUCUCCUAAUAACCAUGCCUGCUACUAAUCCAUGUUUUCCAAUGUCUCUGCAAUUUCUAUCCUCCACUUUCAGCAUAUAUGUGUCAUGGUGCACAAAAAGUUGUUACUUGCACAAUUGCAUUACUUCAUGGCCAAGGAUGAAUAUAGAGCAUGAUGAAGAGUAGAGCAAUUUCUCUGACUGGAACUGGUCUAUAUUAAAUGGGUGUCUAUGACUACCAGCAACAUGGACGAAGCAAGAAUUUUUUUCAUGGCUCACUUCUAUGCUAGAUUUCUCAGUUCCAUUGGGGUCAGCCACUAUGUCAGCUCCGCCGUUGCUGUAUUCAAAACUUUAAUUUUAAUUUGUAUGCUAGAUUUCUAAUUUUUAUGUGAACCAUGCCUGCUACUAGUCCGUGUUUCCGAUUGUCUCCUUAAUUUCUAUCAUCCACGUUGACCAUAUAUGUGGGAUGGCACACACAAAGUUUUUACUUGCACAGGUGUGUUUCGUUAUGGCCAAGGAUGAAUAUAGAACAUGGUGAGGAUCGAUGCAUGAUGAGGUAUGUUUUUGUAUUUAAUGUAGUAGGGAAAUUAUUAUUCUGUGUUUUAGUAAGUUUGCUUUUUUCACUUUUCUAGAGGAAGAAUAGCACAAUUUCUCUAAUUGGAAUUUGUCUAUAUUAAAUUGGUGCCUAUGACUAUGUGUAGUUAUACAAGACCAACAUGGAUGAAGCUCUAAUUAUUUUUAUGGCUCGGCUCUAUGCUAGAGAUUUCUAACUUACAUUGGGGUCGGCUGAUCCCAAUGCCACUAUGUCAGCUUUGCCAUCCCUAACUCAAACUUUUAAUUUUAACUGGGCUGCUGCAAAAUUCUUGAUGGAAAUGAUCAAGCCCUCAAAGGUUAUCCCCUGUAACAAAGCAACCAAGAUAAAUUUAUACAAAAGGAAAAAUAGAGCACUCAUCAGGGCACAUUUCUUUAAUAACAAUGCAACAUUGACGUGUAGUCUGUAACUAAACUUGGAAGUAAUUUUUUCACAUAGUACUAUCGUCACUGUUGUACAACAUCUGCACUAUCUACGAUUGAGAUUUCAAUUUUGCACAUAUCUGUAUUUUUUCAAGUAAAAUAAAUAAUGUUACCUGUGGUUCUUUGCUAUGAUGUUCAACCAAAGGCUUUCUUGAAGUUGUGACGCUCUUCAAUUUCCAAAUAUACUAAGUUGUGCUGUUAGUUCAGUUACAACUUAUUUGUUGUACCAUUGCUUAGUUUCUUAAAUAACUUGAAUAAGGUGUGAUUUUUAUUUACCAAUUGUUUUCAUCACUCAAUGAUUUUGAAUGGUAUCUGAAGUGUUAAGUGUAUGAUAUAUUCAUAUGAAGUAUAUUAGAGUAUU